GAAGAGAAACGAUUCAAAAGAAUCCAGACUGGAAUAAAAAAUUUAAAGCUACAAGUUACAAAUGAUACUAGAAUCAUAAAACGUAUAUACAUAAGCGACCGGUCCAAAUUACAUCCAUAAAGUCAAGGUGGAUACCUCAACACCUUAUUAUAAUACAUCUAGUAAGAACUCCCAAUUACAAUACAAACCAAGAUUUAACAUAGAUAUAUACUAGAUAUCCAACUACUACCUCACAACUAUACAACGAACGUCCAACUGAAGAUCUUCUCACGAACUCCAAAGAUGCUAGAACCGCUACUCUUAAAAAUGCUCCUGCUCCCCGCCUACGCUCCAUAAGGAUACGUACCCAAGAAUGCACAAAAUACAAACUUGGGUCAGCUUACGCUGGUAUGAGUGAUUCUCACACAACAAGACAAGCCAUAAACAACUACAACUAGGAUAUAAUUAUUUAACCACGCAUACCUCGAUUUCCAUUUAGCUUAUGGUAGGCCACCCCUGCAUACACGUUAGUGGGCCUACCAUCCUGCAAUACCUUGUACGCGAUAAUUUAUAAAUAUCAUUAUACAUAUAAUAUGCUAGAAAUCUAAGCAAGUCACAAAGAAAGCAAUUUCUAAUAAAGUUAAGCAAGACAUCACAAUCAAGCCAAAGUUAAUACCCUAGCCACACUCCACAAUAGCCAUAUACUACACACUAUCUAUGGAUAACACAGAUAUCCCUGUGCCUCGUCGGAUAACUCGCAACCACUUUGAAUAACCAGAAUCCAUCAUCGGGAUAUCAACUAAGACUCCGCCGCCUCGAAAAGGCUAAGCUUAUCCGGAGCGCGCUAUAAACAUUUACCACUCGUCUACUCAUGAGAACGAGAAGGUACUCACCCCGAGCAUAAAAGGUAACGGGCUAAUAAUUCACCUUGGGACACACACCAAGGGUUUUUCAAAACAUUUUUUCUCAUUUCAAAAUUCAGUACACUCGUGGUACCAUAGCCCACUUAAUAUUUCCGGAGUUGUGGCGUGCUAGGAUAUUCGAGUAAGACUACUGACUCGCGCAACAAAAACAAACAUACACACAAUCACUAUCGAGCAAUUAAGACAAGGAUAACAAUGAAAAUAAGCAGUCACAUCAACAACAUAAUAUAUCAGAAGGUUCAAACUGAAUUUAACUGCAGUCUACGCAUAUCACAAUAAUAUCGCAGUGUAUUCCACCAACACUGCAGAAAACUGCCAGACAUUGCACUACAAAAAGGACAUGGUAAACACUAUAUUUAGCUCUCAACUCAAGCAUCAAAACUGAAGCUAAAAGAGUCUUUUUUACAAGGCUUUUGAAAUCAACCAAAAAGGUUGCGUAUUGAGUCUGUUACGGACAUUAUCGUAAAGGGUGUUCAGGGACGUCCUGAGUCUGCUUGUCAGACUUGCGUCACAAUUUCUACCAAUUUAACAGCAGAAACAGAGAGAAGUAUAAACAACAAUGUUCUAGACAAAAGAACCUACUUUCAUCUCCAAUUGGAAUAAUAUAAAAAUAGUCAUUAGUUAAGUUUUUAUAGUCAAAAUGCCGCAGCAGCGCAGAAGUUCCAGGAAUCAAGAAUUUACUGACUAUUUACCAAAUAAAAACAGAGGUUGAUGUCAUGUACCCAUGAACAACAAUUCCUACUUAAUCUACCAGGUUCAAUACUCAAAAUAUGAGUAAUUAAACCCCAGAAAGAAAAUCACUCACCUUUGGUUAGAGUUAACUCCUUUACUAAUCCAAAAGAAAGCAAGAUGAAUGACUUCAAUUUCACCAAAAAAACAAGCUUGAAUCACCAACAAGAACCCACCAAUUUCGUUUUAGAAAUCACUCCAACAAUGCUUCUACUAAAAACCCAAUUCAGCCAUCAAAACAACAAUCCCUCAAGCUUCCAUCAUCACUAAUACAUUUCCAUCAAACAAAACCCAACAUCAUUCCGAAUUUCAGUUUGUUUCACUCCACCCUUUUUAUUUCUUUUAUUUUUUCUUCUAUUUCUCCUUAAUCAACAAAACCAGUUUUGAGAAAAAAGAUGCAAGGAUAUUUUUUUAUGUUCUAAAGUCAAGCAAAAGUCCACACAUUUUC
rnacentral:lncRNA from 1 species